GAAAGAGAGGCAACCUCAGCUUCAGCUCCUGUUCCCAAGCCUCACUGAGCAGAGCAUCCCUGAGCCAAGCCAGGUCCUGAGGAUGAAGGUCUGGGUGCUGACAGCCGCUGCCCUGCUGCUGGCACAGCUCUCCCUGGCCCCAGCACACGUAGAGGCACUGGGGGACGGGGCAGCCCUCCCAGCAAGGCAGCUUGGAGCUGGGGGCCCCACGGACAACCAUCGGCCAGCUGGAGAUGGAGGGGACAAUGAGGCGGAUGACAGCCACCCCCAGGUCCUGGCAGAGCACCACCCUGGCUCUGGGGCUCCCUGCAAGGCCACAGGCAGCGGCAUGCAGCACCCCCCCAGCAGGCCCCGCAGGAGCCCACCACAGCCGUUCCGCAGCAGGAGCCUGGGGCUGAGCCAUCACCUGAAGGGCUACGGGAAGUUCAACAGCGACACGCACUCCUGCCGCGGCAUCCAGAGCCGGCCCUGCCACAAGCCCUCAGACUGCAGCGGCUGCCUGGGGCUCUACACCUGCAGGCCACCCGGCACCUGCGGCCUGAAGGCCGUCUCCCGGCAGAGAGGGGGGUUCCUGCAGAGCAUCCAGGGGCAUGCCAUACCGGAGCAACGCAGCUCAGCAUGAAUCCGGAGGGACCGUCCUGCCGCUGAGACCAACAUCUGCUUGAGUUUCAUGUUCAGUCCUUCAUUAAACAGCUGUAAAAGG
rnacentral:lncRNA from 7 species